UGAGGAGUUCCGGUCCAAUCAACAGGCUUAUGUGAAACAAGCUGAAAAGACCACUGUAGAAGCAGCAGGUACAUCGUUGGAAGACAUGGAGAAGAAAUUGGUGGCUGAAUCUUUGAACAAAGUCCAAAUUCCUCGUCAUUUAAUUUGCCAGCUCUCAGGAAAGAUGUUUAUUGAUCCAGUGUCAACCAAAUACGGAGAUGUCUAUGAAAGGAAAUGCAUAGAAAAGGAACUGAUAAAGAAACAGGAAGAUCCAUUUAACAAAAAGCCUCUGGAAAAAACUGACCUGAAGCCAAACAGAAAAAUGAAAGCUAUGGUGAAGGAGCACCGGAGCCAUGAAAUUUCACAGCCUCUUUCUAAUUGAAUAAGUGUUUGGACUGUUGGGGGGCUCAUCCUGUUGAACCCCACAGUUACAAAAAACAGGCACUGUAAACGAUGAAAACCCCAAAAAAAGAUCUAUCACAGGAACAUCCUCAAGGUCUACAGUAUGAAAUGUCCUGAUUUAUCAUACUAUGCACUCUGAGUAAGACCCCAUUGAGUAGUUCAAAAUUAGUACACUUUAUCAACAUUUUUCCAAUUGGUUUAUUAAAGAAAAUCCGUAUCUAUCUAUGCUUGAUUGGCAACAUUAAUUUAGCUUUGAUUAGCUCAAUUGUGAACAAAACAAUUGUUUUUAGAGUGAUUCGCAAAUACUGCCUUCUCUGUGAUGACUCAUUCAGGGCUUCUGUUGUGUUUUUAGCAGAUGCCAUAUUACAUCUUUUCUGACUGGGCUUCUUUUAGGGAUUUUUAUUUUGACCAGUUGUCCUUUUCUGCUAAUAAAUAUACUGAAUAAUAUAUUUUUGUUAGGAAUUAAAAUAUAAUUGUCAA